rnacentral:lncRNA from 1 species
CUGUAUCUAUCUUAGAUACUAACCUGGGUUACCAAAACCCUAUAAUAAACCGGAGACCUCUUAUGGUCUCAAAAACCUGUAUCUAUCUUAGAUACUAACCUGGGUUACCAAGAACCCCUAUAUAUAUUUAGACCAAAUGUCUAAUAAACCGGAGACCUCUUAUAGUCUCAAUAUAACUAGAGUCCUUACACCUUUCCUAUCUACUGGAUACAGUCUUACUGAACCAAACGGGGGUCAUAGACAAUCAGCGUCAAUAAGACACAAAAAGGCUACUCACCGCAAUGGUUUUGCUGAUCCAACUUCUAUCCCACUUCUAGACACCAAGCUGAAAGGGUUAAUGUUGUAAUGGACUCUAAUCCCCUCGGUUCUCGAUCCCUCGGUCACCAUAAUCAACGUUGAUGGAGAAUCAUUUGUAAGCAAUAACACACGGACAACA